rnacentral:rRNA from 1 species
CCCCUAGAUGUUCUGGGCCGCACGCGCGCUACACUGAACAGUUCAACAAGUCUUAACCUUGGCCGAUAGGUCUGGGUAAUCUUUGAACGCUGUUCGUGAUUGGGAUAGACCUUUGCAAUUAUGGGUCUUCAACGAGGAAUUCCUAGUAAACGCAAGUCAUCAGCUUGCAUUGAUUACGUCCCUGCCCUUUGUACACACCGCCCGUCGCACCUACCGAUUGAAUGGUCCGGUGAAAUCUCGGGACGGCGGCUUGGUCGCUUGCGUCCGACUGCUGAAACUUGAUUAAACCAUAUCAUUUNGAGGAAGGUGAAGUCGUANCA